UACGUAGGGUGCAAGCGUUGUCCGGAAUUAUUGGGCGUAAAGAGCUCGUAGGCGGUUUGUCACGUCGGGAGUGAAAACUCGGGGCUUAACCCCGAGCCUGCUUCCGAUACGGGCAGGACUAGAGGUAGGCAGGGGAGAGCGGAACUCCUGGUGUAGCGGUGGAAUGCGCAGAUAUCAGGAAGAACACCGGUGGCGAAGGCGGCUCUCUGGGCCUUACCUGACGCUGAGGAGCGAAAGCGUGGGUAGCGAACAGG
rnacentral:rRNA from 1 species